AUCUAUGGCCGUGCCACCCUGAGCAAGCCGGAUCCUGUCUGAUCUCAGAAGCUAAGCAGGGUCAGGCUUGGUUAGUACUUGGAUGCGAGACCACCUAGGAAGACCAGGUGCUGUCGGCG
rnacentral:rRNA from 1 species